GAAGUUGGAUUCGCUAGUAAUCGCGGAUCAGCAUGCCGCGGUGAAUACGUUCCCGGGCCUUGUACACACCGCCCGUCACACCAUGGGAGUCGGUAACACCCGAAGCCUGUAGUCUAACCGCAAGGGGGACGCAGUCGAAGGUGGGAUUGAUGACUGGGGUGAAGUCGUAACAAGGUAUC
rnacentral:rRNA from 1 species